rnacentral:rRNA from 1 species
AUGUUGGAGACUUAUUGCCAUGAAUCGCUAUGUGCAAGGGUCCUACGUGCUAAAUAUUAUCCUACUGGUGAACUGCUCAACUGCAGUUUGAAAAAAGGCUCUUCUUUUGUGUGGCAAAGUAUAUGGGCCGGAGUUCAAACAUUCAAGAAAGGGGGUAUUUGGAGGGUUAGAAACGGCCUGAAGAUAAAUAUAUGGAAGGAUUGUUGGGUGCCGAACUGCUCCUCCAGGAAAAUCAUUACUCCUCGUGGAAACAGAAUGCUAGCCAGGGUGAAUGAGCUCACUGACCCAGCAUCCGGAGAGUGGGAUGAAAAUUUCAUUAGAGAAAACUUCUGGCCUAUUGAUGCUGAUCGUAUAAUGCAAAUUCCCCUGCAUCAUGAUGAUACCGAAGAUUAUGUGGCAUGGCACUUGACGAAAACGGGAGUUUUUACUGUGCGUUCAGCAUAUUACAAACAAUGGGAAGAUUCGUACGGCAAUACUGAGCCGAGCCCUUUCUCGAGUGGACCUACGCCGCAUCCAAUAUGGAAGAAAAUAUGGAGCCUCAAAGUGCCAAAUAAAGUGAAAAUUUUCAUAUGGCGUUCGUUACAUAAUGCCAUCCCUUGUUUUGGUGUGCUCACUGAUCGUCACAUAUCUACUUCGGUGCAAUGCCCGGUCUGCAAAUUGCACGUCGAGGAUGUGACGCAUGCACUCUUCGGUUGCUCGCGGGCCGCAGGAAUAUGGUCUGACUUGGACUACAUGAAAAAAUAG